AUUGAACGCUGGCGGCAUGCCUUACACAUGCAAGUCGAACGGUAACAGGUCUUCGGAUGCUGACGAGUGGCGAACGGGUGAGUAAUACAUCGGAACGUGCCUAGUGGUGGGGGAUAACUACUCGAAAGAGUGGCUAAUACCGCAUGAGAUCUACGGAUGAAAGCAGGGGAUCGCAAGACCUUGUGCUACUAGAGCGGCCGAUGGCAGAUUCGGUAGUUGGUGGGAUAAAAGCUUACCAAGCCGACGAUCUGUAGCUGGUCUGAGAGGACGAUCAGCCACACUGGGACUGAGACACGGCCCUGACUCCUACGGGAGGCAGCAGUGGGGAAUUUUGGACAAUGGGCGAAAGCCUGAUUCAGCAAUGCCGCGUGCAGGAUGAAGGCCUUCGGGUGGUAAACUGCUUUUGUACGGAACGAAAAGCCCUGGGUUAAUACCCUGGGGUCAUGACGGUACCGUAAGAAUAAGCACCGGCUAACUACGUGCCAGCCGCCGCAGUAA
rnacentral:rRNA from 1 species